rnacentral:rRNA from 1 species
UUAAGUCUUGACGAGUAAGAGGGUCGCGGCGGUGAGCGCAGAAGGGUCAGGGCGAGAGCCUGCCUGGAGCCGCCGUCGGUGCAGAUCUUGGUGGUAGUAGCAAAUACUCUAGCGAGGGCCUGGAGGACUGACGUGGAGAAGGGUUUCUUGUGAACAGCCGUUGCACAAGAGUCAGUCGACCCUGAGCCCUAGGAGAAAUCCAAUGUCGAUGGGUAGCUUGACAAAUAAUGAAACAAAAAAAAAUCAAGUCAUGGAAUGAUGCGGGCACAACACACUUCAGCGCUGCGUUGUCGUUGUCGUUGCUGCUGCUGUGUCAGAUGAGUGUCUUCUAUUUUUUUUUUGAAAAAUGAUGAACAGCUCCUGUCGGGCAAAAGGGAAUCCGGUUCCUAUUCCGGAACCCGGCUGCGUAACCGCCACUUUGCGGGCACUUGCUUGCAAGCGCUCGUCGGGGUAACCCAAACUGGCCUGGAAACCCCGGCGGGGGGUCUGGAAAAAGUUUUCUUUUCUUUAUAAGCGUUCGAGUACCCUGGAAUCCUAUACCAGGAAAAUAGGGUUGGGAACGCGAAAAGCACCGCAUUUGCGGCGGUGUCCGAACCUUCCCCCCGAACCUUGAAAAUCCAGGUGAGGGCCACGCGAAAGUCGCGCCGA